rnacentral:lncRNA from 1 species
UGCAGGGCCAGCACCUGUAAUAGACAAGGGAAAGGUGAAGAAUAGAUCUGAGAGCAAACAAGACAGUGACCAGAAAGACCAUGCCACAUUUGUGUGUGUGUGUGCAUACUAUGGCCCAGAAGCUUCUAGUGACUGGAUGAAGAAUUUUCCAACUGCUGGUAAACCCACUGCUGACUCAAUUAAAACAUCUCAGAAGAAAAUACUAUAAGAGGUCUGAACGACACCAUAUAAAACUUCUUAAAUAAAAUAUUGGAUCUCUGU